ensembl:lncRNA
AUGGUCGGCUACACACAGAGGAGGAGCAUGCAAGGCUGGGGGAGAUGGUCGGCUACACACAGAGGAGGAGCAGGCAAGGCUGGUGGAGAUGGUCGGCUGCACAGAGAGGAGGAGCAGGCAAGGCUGGAGGAGAUGAUCGGCUACACACAGAGGAGCAGCACACAAGGCUGGGGGAGAUGGUCGGCUACACAUAGGGGAGGAGCACACAAGGCUGGAGGAAGUGAUCGGCUACACACAGAGGAGGAGCACAAAAGGCUGGGGGAGAUGGUCAGGUACACAAAGAGGAGGAGCACGCAAGGCUGGAGGACAUGGUCAGUUACACACAGAAGAGGAGCACGCAAGGCUGGGGGAGAUGGUCGGCUACACAUAGAGGAGGAACACACAAGGCUGGGGGAGAUGGUCGGCUACACAAAGAGGAGGAGCACGCAAGGCUGGAGGACAUGGUCAGUUACACACAGAAGAGGAGCACGCAAGGCUGGGGGAGGUGGUCGGCUACACAUAGGGGAGGAGCACACAAGGCUGGAGGAUGUGAUCGGCUACACACAGAGGAGGAGCACGCAAGGCUGGAGGAGAUGCUCGGCAACACACAGAGGAGGAGCACGCAAGGCUGGGGGAGAUGGUCGGCUACACACAGAGGAGGAACACGCAAGGCUGGAGGAGAUGAUCGGCAACACACAGAGGAGGAGGACGCAAGGCUGGGGGAGAUGGUCGGCUACACAAAGAGGAGGAGCACGCAAGGCUGGAGGAGAUGAUCGAGGCUGCCCCCCCACCCCACUCUCCACCAAAAAAAAGAAAACUCACUCCAAGCUGAAUUUUAAUUUGCUGUAUUUAAAACAAUAGAAGUCUGUGGUAUCGGUUUAGAUAGCCAGAAAGACCAUGACACACCUCACAACAAUACCAACAUCACUAGGACAGUAGCAGUACUGAUAUGCAAAUGUGUUACAUUCAUAAAGUAACUGCUAUAUAUUAUGCCAGUGCUUCCUAAAGUUCAGGACGAGCCACCUAGUUUUCGAAUAUUGUUUAAAUAUACCGUGUUGACGAUAGACGCGAGGACAAGUAGCCUAAGGUUUGUGUGCGGUUUCUCCUUUGCCUCUGUGUGGCGCUCUCUGUGUUGAAUUCGCGUCAGAGUCGAAUGGUGAAAGACAAGAUUUUAAGUGAAUAUAGGUAAGUUACUGUCUAUUUUUCACAAACAAAAACAGAAUGAAUUCAGAAGACUUAACAAACAUGAAUCAUAUGGACUUUUAUGAGGUGUUUGAAGAUACAAAUACCCUACCAUCAUUGCAUUUCAAAGAAGAAACAUUUUUUGGAGAGACACAUGAGUGAGUAAAAGACAGGUUUUUAUUUUGGGCCACUUUUAUUUUACAUUGUUUAACAUAUGUUAUAUUUAAAGUAUGACAUAUUUUUACUUAAAAACAUAAACAUAGCCUAUGCCAUACUUUAAAAUACGUAUAUUUGUUGGUCAACAGAAAUUAUACAAGAUACAAAAAACAAAAAUAUAGUUCAUUAUAUAUUAUAUAUGUGUGUGUGUGUGUG